rnacentral:rRNA from 1 species
UUGCUUUUCUUAGCUUAGUGGCGAACGGGUGAGUAACGCGUGAGUAACCUGCCCUGGAGUGGGGGACAACAGUUGGAAACGACUGCUAAUACCGCAUAAGCCCACGAUCCGGCAUCGGAUUGAGGGAAAAGGAUUUAUUCGCUUCAGGAUGGACUCGCGUCCAAUUAGCUAGUUGGUGAGGUAACGGCCCACCAAGGCGACGAUUGGUAGCCGGACUGAGAGGUUGAACGGCCACAUUGGGACUGAGACACGGCCCAGACUCCUACGGGAGGCAGCAGUGGGGGAUAUUGCACAAUGGGGGAAACCCUGAUGCAGCGACGCCGCGUGGAGGAAGAAGGUUUUCGGAUUGUAAACUCCUGUCGUUAGGGACGAUAAUGACGGUACCUAACAAGAAAGCACCGGCUAACUACGUGCCAGCAGCCGCGGUAAAACGUAGGGUGCAAGCGUUGUCCGGAAUUACUGGGUGUAAAGGGAGCGCAGGCGGACCGGCAAGUUGGAAGUGAAAACUAUGGGCUCAACCCAUAAAUUGCUUUCAAAACUGCUGGCCUUGAGUAGUGCAGAGGUAGGUGGAAUUCCCGGUGUAGCGGUGGAAUGCGUAGAUAUCGGGAGGAACACCAGUGGCGAAGGCGACCUACUGGGCACCAACUGACGCUGAGGCUCGAAAGCAUGGGUAGCAAACAGGAUUAGAUACCCUGGUAGUCCAUGCC